rnacentral:pre_miRNA from 1 species
CCUCGUAGCAGUGUUCUGGAAUCCUACGUGAGGGACAAACUUUCAGAUCCUUGUAACAUUGUUCUGGAAUCCUAUGUGAGGGA